AUGAAGUUCCCUGCUCAGCUUCUGGGGCUCCUCAUGCUCUGGUUUCCAGGAUCCAGUGGGGAUGUCGUAAUGACACAGACCCCACUGUCCCUGCCCGUCACCCUUGGAGAACCGGCCUCCAUCUCCUGCAGGGCCAGUCAGAGCCUCCUACACAGUAAUGGAUACAAUUAUUUGCAUUGGUACCUGCAAAAGCCAGGCCAGUCUCCACAGCUUCUGAUCUAUGCGGCUUCUCACCGUUUCACUGGGGUCCCAGACAAGUUCAGUGGCAGUGGGUCAGGGACAGAUUUCACCCUGAGGAUCAGCAGGGUGGAGGCUGAUGAUGUUGGAGUUUAUUACUGCCAGCAAAGUAUACAUGCUCCUUGCACAGUGGUUUAG